ensembl:lncRNA
AGUACUAAAGUUCACCGUUGCCUCAUUUUAUAUCACAUUCCAAUGAUAAAACCGGGGGGGGGGGGGGGGGGGGGGGGACAUUUCAGAAUGUGGGGGGGACAUGCGCCCCUGCAUAAAUGGUUUGUCAAGAUUGGUGUGGAAGAACUUGACUGGCCUGACCUCAACCCCAUCAAACACCUUCGGGAUGAAUUGGAACACCGACUGCGAGCCAGGCUUAAUCGCCCAACAUCAGUGCCCGAACUCACUAAUGCAAGUCCCAGCAGCAAUGUUCCAACAUCUAGUGAAAAGCCUUCACAGACGAGUGGAGGCUGUUAUAGCAGCAAAAGGGGGACAAACUCCAUAUUAAUGCCCAUGAUUUUUUAAUGAGAUGUUCGACGAGCAGGUGCCCACAGACGUUUGGUCAUGUAGUGUAUAUUAAUAUAAUUACUAACUUAUUCCCUGUCUUUCAAGAUAAAAUAAUCGAUGGCAAAGUGAUAAAUAACAUAAAUCAAAUUGUAUAGGCGCGGCGGCGAUAACGUUGAAGACCCUUUGAGUGCGCAUUCGUGUGUAGAGUGGCUGCGCGCUCUGACACCCGUGACUCCAGAGUGCGAGCUGGGCUUUCGGCUUUGACAGUCAGUCUUGUCACACAUCGUUUCGAAAGAUGUUGGGUACGGACGACCACAGGGACAAUCUGAAACGGAACGGGACAGGCACCUCUGCCCAGGGCAACCCCCUCCUGGCCUCCCUGCCUGUCCCGGGACGGCCCCUGCAGCCUCACCUCGACCUCAAGCACUUCCUGCCUUUCAGGCUCAAUGGAUCGUCCCCCCUCAGCCUCUUCCCUAACUUCAGCACAAUGGACCCGGUGCAGAAGGCGGUGAUCAACCACACGUUUGGCGUCCCUCAGCCACUCAAGAAGAAACAGAUAAUCUCCUGUAACAUCUGUCACCUGCGCUUCAACUCCCCGAACCAGGCAGAAGCACACUAUAAGGGGCAUAAACAUGCCCGGAAGCUGAAAGCCAUGGAGGCCCAGAAGAACCGUCAGCGUCGACUUGGGGAAGCCACGUCCACAGGCAGGGAGAGAGACCGGGAACGAGACCGAGAACGGGACAGGGAGAGGGCUAAGACUGCUGCGACUGUUACACUUCCCACUGAGACCCUCCCCGCACUCAUGGACACAGGCCCGAUGGAGGCAACGAGUAAGUUAACUGAUAAGGUGUCCCCCUCCUCCCAGGCCUCAGAGAGCGGAGCCUCAGAUACCAGUGGCCCCGAGCAGGGCCCAGAGGCCCCUGGAACAGCCCUGGAGUCAGGCAGCCAGCCAGACACCUCCAGAACAGAGGGGGGUGAGGAGGUCAAGGACCCCAAGAGGAUCAAGCCACACCUCCACUGUCCCGUGUGCAAGGUCACUGUCAACUCUACAUCCCAGCUGGAGGCACACAACAGUGGUACGAAGCACAAGCAGAUGCUGGAGGGCCAGAGCGUCCAGCCGCGGCGCCGGGGGAAGGUGGCGGGGGCUGGGGGGCGCUCGGCCUGCAAGAGCAAGCGCCUGGGCACCAAGGGGAGCGUGGGGGUGCCCAGCAAGAACUUCCACUGCGAGGUGUGUGAGAUCUAUGUCAACUCGGAGACCCAGCUCAGCCAGCACAUGAACAGCAGGAGACACAAGGACCGUCUGGCAGGAAAGCCCCCCAAACCCAAGUUCAGCCCCCACAACAAGAGCCAGCCCACCUCCAGCUUAUCGACCAAACUGGCCUUCCAGAAGCAGCUGACCAAGAGCCUGACCACUGGCUUCCUGCCUAGCCCCCUCACCCAGCCCACCUUGUGCACCAUGGCAACCAAUCCUCUGGCUCUGCGCCACCCGGCGGGCACCACCUUCUUUCAGACGCCCUUCCUGAGCCCCACCUUGUUCCGGCCCGCCCCGGGGCCCCUGAGGGCCACGCACCCCUCCAUCAUCUUCUCCCCUUAUUAA